AUUGAACGCUGGCGGCAUGCUUUACACAUGCAAGUCGAACGGGCUGGGGGCAACUCCAGUCAGUGGCGAACGGGUGAGUAAUGCAUCGGAACGUGUCCCGUAGUGGGGGAUAACCCGGCGAAAGCCGGACUAAUACCGCAUAUGCUCUACGGAGGAAAGUGGGGGACCGCAAGGCCUCACGCUAUGGGAGCGGCCGAUGUCCGAUUAGCUUGUUGGUGGGGUAAUGGCCACCAAGGCGACGAUCGGUAGCUGGUCUGAGAGGAUGAUCAGCCACACUGGGACUGAGACACGGCCCAGACUCCUACGGGAGGCAGCAGUGGGGAAUUUUGGACAAUGGGGGCAACCCUGAUCCAGCCAUGCCGCGUGCGGGAAGAAGGCCU
rnacentral:rRNA from 1 species